UAAGUCGUACUUUUAAGGUUAUAUUUGAGGCUUGAAUAAAUACUCAAAAGCUAUGUACAUUGCUGUCUGUGUGUACGUAAAUUAACGAGCCAAUCAUAACUCGAUAAGUAAAUAUUGCAUUUCUAAUUUUAUUGCGUAAUAUCAAUAACAUGGGUUUUUUUUAUUAUUUCGUGGAAAAUUUUUCUACAUAUAAGUUUGAAGAUUAGAAAUGGCUUACUGUAUUUUUGUUUUACUUGCAAAAGCACAUUGAGUUGGUUGAACAUCAAAAGAGUGAGGACCAUGAAGCUUUUCUGCGUUCUUGUUGUUUUCAGCGUGAUUGCUGCCUCUUUGGCUAGUUUCCCUCCGUCAGCCUGUAGACUUCAACGCAAGAUGGUAACAGACGCAGGU